AGAAAAGCAAAUAAAUGAGAAUUGCAUUUG
rnacentral:piRNA from 1 species